rnacentral:rRNA from 1 species
GAGGAAUAUUGGUCAAUGGGCGAGAGCCUGAACCAGCCAAGUCGCGUGAAGGAAGAAGGUUCUAUGGAUUGUAAACUUCUUUUGCAUGGGAAUAAAGUGAGCUACGAGUAGUUUAUUGUAUGUACUGUGCGAAUAAGGAUCGGCUAACUCCGUGCCAGCAGCCGCGGUAAUACGGAGGAUCCGAGCGUUAUCCGGAUUUAUUGGGUUUAAAGGGUGCGUAGGCGGGAGAUUAAGUCAGCGGUGAAAGUUUGCAGCUUAACUGUAAAAUUGCCGUUGAAACUGAUUUUCUUGAGUGUAAAUAAGGUAGGCGAAAUGUGUUGUGUAGCGGUGAAAUGCAUAGAUAUAACACAGAACCCCGAUUGCGAAGGCAGCUUACCGGGCUACAACUGACGCUGAGGCACGAAAGCGUGGGGAUCAAAC